CAAUAUAAAAAACCCGGAGCGACAGGAAAACCCAUCAGGAAGUGCCGUUCCAAAAGGCAUUACUUCCGACACCAACCAGAACCAGCCAGAACACCCGUCAUUGCUAGCUUGGAGUGUUGACAUUGACAGCUUUUGAACAUUUGUGGAGCAGGUGCACCAUGGCUUGCCGCAAUGUCACAACUGGUCCUUGGAGAGCCGCUGGUGGUGACGGGCUGCCUGUGUCCUCUCUGCGACAAAACUCCACAAAUACUCCACUCACCAAGUUCCAGAGGGAGAGGAUCACCAGACACCACCGGCCGUACUAAAGGAAGUUGCUCUAUGUAGGGAUGGAACAUGGCAUCUGCACCAGCUGGGACACACUUAGCCAACU